AGAGUUUGAUCCUGGCUCAGAUUGAACGCUGGCGGCAGGCCUAACACAUGCAAGUCGAGCGGAUGAAGAGAGCUUGCUCUCUGAUUCAGCGGCGGACGGGUGAGUAAUGCCUAGGAAUCUGCCUGGUAGUGGGGGACAACGUCUCGAAAGGGACGCUAAUACCGCAUACGUCCUACGGGAGAAAGCAGGGGACCUUCGGGCCUUGCGCUAUCAGAUGAGCCUAGGUCGGAUUAGCUANUUGGUGAGGUAAUGGCUCACCAAGGCGACGAUCCGUAACUGGUCUGAGAGGAUGAUCAGUCACACUGGAACCGAGACACGGUCCAGACUCCUACGGGAGGCAGCAGUGGGGAAUAUUGGACAAUGGGCGAAAGCCUGAUCCAGCCAUGCCGCGUGUGUGAAGAAGGUCUUCGGAUUGUAAAGCACUUUAAGUUGGGAGGAAGGGCAGUAAGCGAANACCNUG
rnacentral:rRNA from 1 species